rnacentral:lncRNA from 1 species
UGAUGGAUACUGAAAUUUGAAGUUAAAAAAAAGUUGAAAUUCAUAGAAUUUUCACAGAUCACAAACCAUUUUUAUUCUUCUAUCAUUUAUAAAUGUAAAAAAAAAAGUCUUGACUCAUAGAUAGUAUGAAAAUAAAGGUGGUAGACAGGAUUUAGCCACAGGCUGUACUCUGCCAGUCCCUGGUCUAUUUGACAGAGGCUGAACUUUGGGGUCAGGCAGACUAUGAUUUGAAUUGCGUUAGUCACUCUGUGACCUUGGGUAGGUUACAUAAUCCUCUUCAACUUCAGACCUUGAAGAGUUGCUGUGAACAUUAGCGAUAACUUAUGUAAAGUUUCUGGCAUGCAGAGAGCCCUUAGUAAAUGUGAGUUCCUUUUUGAUUUCUUGAUUUGAAGAUCUUUCCCACACUAGAGUUCAGUAACCGGGAGCACAAAGUCCAUCUUGAAGACUUUUUAGGGCAAAGAAGAUAGAGAAGUGGAUAUAGGCUGGUUUCAGCAGAUUCAGCAGAUUCAGUCUACUCUUUGCCCUGAUUGCAAAUGCACAUAUGUGUGCAGAGAACUUCCAUGUUUACAUAUGAUGACAGAUGAGAAAAUGCCUCUUUAUGAUGACAGAGAGAAAAUGAUCUCUCACAGUGUCCAAAUAUAAGAGGUCCUGAAUUUUAUGUUGUACGGGAGAUGCCUCCAAUUGAGCUUUCUUUGUCCUUUAUAAUUUUUACAGUGCUUUAGAGUGUAAGUUUUUUUUUUAAAUCAGGAAGUUUUAACUAAAGGAAAAAAAUCAGUGUGGAUUGUAUCUUCUGCAAAAGAGACAUCUCAGUGCUCUGUCACAAAGGGCCGGGGGCGACAACCCCUUGGAUGAGGGAUUUUUUCAGACUCUUCUCAACUCAUCCAAUUUCUUCUCCAGACAGAUCCCAUGCUUGGAUAUUCCAACCUAUCAUGGAAUUUAAAAUGAUCUAUGUGUGUCUUAAUCAAUAUGGAGAGGCUAUAACAAAAUAUCUGCAAUUGAGUAAUUUAUAGAGAACAAAAAUUUAUUUCUCAUGGUUCUGGAAGCUGGGAAGUUCAAGACCAAGAUGGUGGUGUCUGGUGAGGGCUGCUCUCUGCUUCCAAGAUGGGACCUUGAAUGCUGUGUCCUCACGUGGUAAAGAGCACAAUCACACAAAGAAGCCUUUUUUAUAAUGGCAUUGACACAUUAGUGAGGGUGGAGUCCUCAUGAUCUAAACACCUCCCAAAGGGUUCCACCUCUCCACACAUUUAAGUUUCCAAUGUGUGAAUUUUAUCUUGCUUCUUCAUCAUCUAGAUUAAAAAAAAAUUUGUAGUUGUUUAUUUUUAUGUGGUGCCUGAUGCAUGCUAGGCAAGGGCUCUGCUUGCUACAGCCCCAGCCCCUCAUCUAGAUUUUACUGAUUACAGUCUAGAUUACAGUCUGUAUGUGUGUGUGUGUGUGUGUGUGCUAUGUGAGAGAUUCAAAUAACUUUCAGAAUGUAAUUUCUCCAUUAACAUUCAAGUAAUCGUCUUUUAUUUGCUCAGACACUCAGUCAUUCACCUUCAGUCAGUCUGGGUUAAGAAAAGUUGCUGAGUGUGUGAGCUCAGGGAAGAUCUCACUCAUGCUAUGGGAGGCUACGUGACAGACAGGAUGUCUGCAGGGAGUUUAUCAAUUUGGUCUUGGUUUUAAGAGCAGAAUUCUUAGGUAUCAAACUGACUAAGGUCCAGAUCUCUAGUCUGGCUAUAAUCUGGGGUCAUUUGACCUCUACAGGUCUUGCCUCCUCGUCUGUGAAGUGGGAAAAUGAAUACCUCACAAUGAGUUUGUAAGAAGGCAAGUGCAUAUUUUACCAACUAUGCUUCAGAGACGAUGGCUAGUAUCAAUAAUAAGCAAUUAACAGACCUAUCAGGCAAGAUGGGCUGAAUUACACUGUGGAAAAACAUACCCUGAUUCCCAGUGGCUCAUUGCUUUCUUUAUUUCUUACCUGCUUAUGCUCUAUAGCCCUUGCUCUGUUAUCAAUCCCAAAGGCAUCUAUCUUCCUUUGAGACUCAGGAUGACUGAUAUGUUUCUAUCUGGAACAUCAAAUAGAAGUAGAAUAAAAAGAGAACUUAGCAAAUCCCAAACUGGCUUUUAUUUUCCUUUAGAGGACAAGCAUGACUUGUUUUAUUGAGUUUUGCUUUAUUGAAAUUCAUAUGUUGCCUUUCCUGAAAAUUGAAGAUUUGUGGCAACCCUGUACCCAGCAAGGACAUUGGUCCCAUUCCCCCAACAUUCAGAUGAUCUUUAGCAUUUUUUCCAAUAAAGUAUCUUUUAUUUCUUUUUUUUUUGAGCUGGUACAUUAUAAUUAUAUAUAACAGUGAAGUUCAUUGUUACGUUUUCACAUGUGCAUAUAAUAGAACAAUAAAAUCAGGUCAAUUCUGUUCCCCAACACCUCUCCUUUUCCCUCCUUCUUCUCCCUGGUCAUCUUCCUCUAUUCUACUAGUCUCCCUUCUAUUUUCAUGAGGUUCUCCCCCGCCCCCACUUUUUAAAAUUUUUUCUCUCUCUAGAUUCCAUACAUGAGAGAAAAAUUUGACCCUUGACUUUCUGAGUUUGUCUUAUUUCAUUUAAUACAAUGUCCUCAAGUUCAAUGCAUUUCCCUACAAGUUACAUAAUUUAAUUCUUUAUGGCUGAUUAAAACUGCAUUGUGUAUAUCACCACAUUUUCUUUAUUCAUGUAUCAGUUGAGGGACACUUAGUCUGGUCACAUAAUUUGGCCAUUGUGAAUUGUGCUGCUAUAAACGUUGGUAUGCAUGUAUCACUAUAGUAUGCUGAUUUUAAUUUUUUUUAUGAUAAAAAGAGGAAUGGUGUAGUUGGGUCAUAUAAUGAUUCCAUUCCUGGUCUUCUGUGGAAACUCCAUACUGAUUUCCAUAGUGGUUGUACUGAUUUACAAUCCCACCAACGGUGUCAAAGUGUUCCUUUCUCCCCACACUCUCUCUAGCAUUUAUUAGUAUUUGUAUUCUUGGUGGCUGCCAUUCUCACAGGAGUGAGGAGAAAUUCAGUGUGGUUUUGAUUUGCAUUUCCCUGAUUGCUAAAGAUGUUGGACUCUUUUUUGUAUAUUUGUUUGGCAUUUGUAUUUUUUCUCUUUGAGAAGUGUCUGUUUAGUUCAUUUAUUAUUAUUAUGAUUGAGUUAUUUGAUUUGGUUAUUUGGUUUUUCUUUGGGUGUUAACUUUUUAAAGUUCUCUUUUUUUAAAAAUAUUUAUUUAUUUUUCUUUUAGUUUUCGGCGGACAGGACAUCUUUGUUUGUAUGUGGUGCUGAGGAUCGAACCCGGGCCGCACCCAUGCCAGGCGAGCGCGCUACCGCUUGAGCCAUAUCCCCAGCCCUAAAGUUCUUUAUAUAUUCUGAAAAUUAAUUCUCUGUCAGAAAAUAGUUGGCAAAGAUUUUCUCCCAUUCUGUAGGUUUUUUCUUCAUGCUCUUGUUUUCUUUGCCGUGCAGAAGCUUUUUGAUUUGAUGCCACCCCCACUUAUUAAUUCUUGGUAUCCAUUCUUGAGCUGUCAGAGUCCUAAGGAGUUGUUACCUGCACUUGUUGUUGGAGUGCCAAAUUGGCUUUUAGAGGUGAUAAGCUUUACAUCUCCUCGAAGUCCAAUGGCCAACUCAGGUCACGUGGGCAAGCCUGACCCGACUGGGAAGAGAAAACUCCCCUAGGCAAAGACAACCCAUAUUUGGAAACACUAUUACAAUUUACCAUAAUUUAUAUGCAAAAUAACUUGUAGGAAGUGUAAGAAAGUGGGGCACAGAAAAGACAUGUAAUGCUGUAUAAAUAUUAGCCUUGAGUAUGCUUUUAGACUUGAUUGCUUCCAAAAUACACGAUUCUUUAAGAAUUUCCUGAGAAAGGCUUAUCAUUGUCACUCUCUUGUCAGGUUGGUAAAAAACCAAAGAUUACUGUACAUACACUCCCAAGAGUCAACAAAUACAGCCUUCUGCCACCGCCAAGCUUCUAUUUGUCUUCUUCAAGGCCUGCAGAGGCAAAAAAUGACCAAAGCUAAUAAUUCAUUUUUGUCAGCCAACUUAGGUUUUUAAAAUGAAUUUGGAGAAGUCAAUAGCAUCCUAGAGACAUUAGUUUAAGUGUGAGCACAUGCCAAUCUUUUGCAUCAGGUAGGGUCCUUUAGUUACCAAGAACAGAAUCAUUUUAAGGGAAAAAAAAAGCAUAUAAUAACAGCAUUCAGGUAGCUCAGAAAAUUUCCAGGAAAGGUUUGAACUUAGAAACAAUGAGUGAAUUGCAUUGAUCAUGUUGCUGGAUUGUUCCAGUAGAAAACUGCUGCCAACCUUGGGCAUAAGGCACUGCUUUUGGAACUUCUGCCAAGUUAACCUUGGAAGCUAGAGGCUUCACUUCCUGGUGUUCUGCCACCUUGCCAGAAUGGAUCAUGGGUGACUUCCUCCUAUUUUUUUUUUUGGGGGGGUGUGUACCAGUGAUUGAACUCAGGGGCACUUGACCACUGAGCCACAUCUCCUGCCCCAUGUUGUAUUUUAUUUAGAGACAGGGUCUCACUGAAUUGCUUAGGUCCUCGAUAAGUUGCUGAGGCUGGCUUUGAACUUGUGACCUUUUGUCUCAGCCUCCUGAGCUGCUGGGAUUCCAGGCCUCCUAGUUUUUAAUUUUUAAUUUCUUUCUGACAAUCUCUUCCAAAUCAAAAUCUUGUGCCCUCCCCCAUCUUAACCAAAUGAUCACAUAUAGCAUCCCAAACAGUGAGAAAAUCUGAUAUGGCAUGUUCCAUGUAGCCUGAUGCAUUAUGACCAAUAUAGCUUCUCCUGUGAGAUGCUCUUUUAUCAGGAAUCAUAACAUCUGGCUGUCUUUAUUUUAUUUUUUAUUUUUUGGUGUCAGGAAUUGAACCCAGGCCUUGGGGGUGCUCAGCAUGCACUCUACCAUUGAGUGACACCCCCAGCUGGUUGUCUUUAUUUGUGUGAUGAUAGCACCUGUUCAUAAUCAUUGCCUAGAUACGUUAAUU